AUUGAACGCUGGCGGCAUGCUUUACACAUGCAAGUCGAACGGUAACAGGCCUUCGGGUGCUGACGAGUGGCGAACGGGUGAGUAAUGCAUCGGAACGUACCCAGAGGUGGGGGAUAACGCAGCGAAAGCUGUGCUAAUACUGCAUGUGAUCUGAGGAUGAAAGCGGGGGACCGAGCAGCAAUGUUUGGCCUCGCGCCUUUGGAGCGGCCGAUGUCGGAUUAGCUAGUUGGUGGGGUAAAGGCCUACCAAGGCGACGAUCCGUAGCUGGUCUGAGAGGACGACCAGCCACACUGGGACUGAGACACGGCCCAGACCCCUACGGGAGGCAGCAGUGGGGAAUUUUGGACAAUGGGCGCAAGCCUGAUCCAGCAAUGCCGCGUGCGGGAAGAAGGCCUUCGGGUUGUAAACCGCUUUUGGCAGGAACGAAACGGUGUCCGCUAAUACCGGGCGCUAAUGACGGUACCUGCAGAAUAAGCACCGGCUAACUACGUG
rnacentral:rRNA from 1 species